AUGGGCACCAUCAGAGAAUAGCCAGUUCAGUUGAUACAUGGCACUAGGAUGAGCUCAAAGGCACAUGGAAUUAACUGUACAGUAUGCACGGAGGACAUCUAAGUACACCUUUUUUUCCGAUACAACUAAGGGAAUCUGCUCUAAUAAUUUGAGACAGGAUGGAGACUUUAUAAACUUGAGAAGACAACUUAAAUCAUGAAGU
rnacentral:lncRNA from 1 species